UAGAGGGAGAGAGUCAGGUGUUAAUCAUUGAAGAACCUUGUAGAGAUUUGCUAGGCAUCAGAAGAUCAGGAUUAACUGGGGAGUACUUUAUUGUGGAUUUUCAAGGAGAGCUAAAGCUCUCAUUUAUCAUAUACAAUCCAUACCAGUGCCUGAAGGAUUAACACAAUUUUGAGCUUCACCACAGAGAAGUAAAAUGGCAUCCCUUACGUAUAGAAAUGCAGUUACAGGAAGCGCUGUGCUGUGGGCUGGGGGAAAUCACACAGCACGAGGGCAUCGGUCUCUAGCCUUCACUAGGAAUAACAUCUUCACAAUCCUGUCUCUUCCCAGCACUUCCAUUUAGGUCUCUUCCCAAAGAGCGCAGUGGCCCAGUCAAAAUGCUUCUGGGAGGAAUCUGAGGCAAAGCCCUAAUUAAGCAAGGAAUUAUUUUGAUUUUGUGUCUGGGAGAUAGAGAUUGCCCAUGAGAGGAAUAAUGAAAGUCUUGAGAUUUGAAAAGUAAUGUAUUGGUAUCAGAAUUUGUGGCCCUGGUGGCACACCCAGUCUUGGAAAUGUCCAGCAGACAGUAGAUUUGUGAUGCAUCAGGACAGCAGAGUGCUGGAGGCUCAGGGCUGUGACGGGUACAGUUGGGGGAGGUGCUUUGAAUGAGCCAACCACAUCCUGAAGUAGUUAUGAUCCAGUCCAGUCAAUCUUCUGUAGAGAAUUAAUGCUCACCUUUGGAAGGAGGUCCCAUGAGCAGUGACAGAGAGCAAUAAAUAUCACUGUUGGGGCACUCUCCACCUUGUGGAACUCAGAGGAACUAGGAUGCCCCGCCCCUCUGUUCAUGCCCACAAGGGCCUCAUCCGGUGAAGCCUCCUCCCCGCCACCCUGCCAUGGCCACCAGGCUCCUCUGCUGUGUGGCCCUUUGUCUCCUGGGAACAGAGUUUACAGAUGCUGGAGUCAUCCAGGCACCCAGGCACAAGGUGACAAAGGUGGGACAAGAAGUAACCCUGAGAUGCAAGCCUAUUUCUGGUCACACAGGCCUUUACUGGUAUAGAUGGACCUCGGGGCAGGGACCAGAGCUGCUGAUCUAUUUCAACAAUCAAGCUCCUGUAGAUGACUCGGGGAUGCCCAAGAAACGGUUCUCAGCAGAGAUGCCUGACAAAUCAUUCUCCACGCUGAGGAUCAAGCCCACAGAACUUGAAGACUCAGCCACGUACCUGUGUGCCAGCAGUGUAGACACAGUGCUGCCGAGUCACCCCCUCCCGAUGCAGAAACCCUCAAGCUUCCCCUUCUGCCUCCAGCCCCCAGCUGUCCUCUGCAGUCUUUCGAAGCUUCUCCCCUGUCAGCACAGGGAUGUGGGUCUGGUGUUCUUCAUGUCUCUGGGGAAGGCAAGAACAGAUACUUCUCAGUAUCACAGUAGAAAACUUUUGGUAGGAAGACAAUAGGGGGUGGGUUUCUGGCAUUCCUCACAAAUUCUCACAGAGGGUGACUGAGUCCAAGACUGAGGGUGAAUGUCACCCACUGGGCUUUCAAGUGAUUAAGUAAACUCAAAACUAU